AUAACGGUCCUAAGGUAGCGAAAUUCCUUGUCGGGUAAGUUCCGACCUGCACGAAUGGAGUAACGACUUCCCUACUGUCUCAACCAUGAACUCGGCGAAAUUGCAGUACGAGUAAAGAUGCUCGUUUCGCGCAGCAGGACGGAAAGACCCCGUGACCUUUACUAUAGUUUGGUAUUGGUGUUUGGUUUGGCUUGUGUAGGAUAGGUGGGAGACUGUGAAGCAUGGACGCUAGUUUGUGUGGAGUCGUUGUUGAAAUACCACUCUGGUCAAUCUGGAUGUCUAACUUCGGGCCAUGAUCUGGUUCAGGGACAGUGCCUGAUGGGUAGUUUAACUGGGGCGGUUGCCUCCUAAAGUGUAACGGAGGCGCCCAAAGGUUCCCUCAGCCUGGUUGGCAAUCAGGUGUUGAGUGUAAGUGCACAAGGGAGCUUGACUGUGAGACUGGCAGGUCGAGCAGGGACGAAAGUCGGGACUAGUGAUCCGGCGGUACGUUGUGGAACGGCCGUCGCUCAACGGAUAAAAGGUACCUCGGGGAUAACAGGCUGAUCUUGCCCAAGAGUCCAUAUCGACGGCAUGGUUUGGCACCUCGAUGUCGGCUCAUCGCAUCCUGGGGCGGUAGUACGUCCCAAGGGUUGGGCUGUUCGCCCAUGAAAGCGGUACGCGAGCUGGGUUCAGAACGUCGUGAGACAGUUCGGUCCAUAUCCGGUGUAGGCGUUAGAAUAUUGAGAGGAGCCUUCUUUAGUACGAGAGGACCGAGAAGGACAUACCUCUGGUGUACCAGUUAUCGUGCCAACGGUAAACGCUGGGUAGCUAUGUAUGGAGUGGAUAACCGCUGAAAGCAUCUAAGUGGGAAGCCCACCUCAAGAUAAGUAUUCUCAUCACGUAAGUGAGUAAGGUCACGGUAAGACUAACCGUUUGAUAGGCAUUAAGUGUAAGUACAGUAAUGUAUGUGCUGAGAUGUCCUAAUAGACCGAGGACUUG
rnacentral:rRNA from 12 species